rnacentral:rRNA from 1 species
AACGAACGCUGGCGGCGUGCCUAACACAUGCAAGUCGAACGGGAUUCGGAGCUUGCUCCGAUGAGAGUGGCGCACGGGUGAGUAACGCGUAGAUAAUCUGCCUGAUGAUCUGGGAUAACAGUUCGAAAGGACUGCUAAUACCGGAUAAGCCCACGGAGACCUUGGUCUUUGCGGGAAAAGGGGGGGACCUUCGGGCCUUCCGUCAUCAGAUGAGUCUGCGUACCAUUAGCUAGUUGGUAGGGUAAAGGCCUACCAAGGCGACGAUGGUUAGCUGGUCUGAGAGGAUGAUCAGCCACACUGGAACUGAGACACGGGCCAGACUCCUACGGGAGGCAGCAGUGGGGAAUUUUGCGCAAUGGGGGAAACCCUGACGCAGCAACGCCGCGUGAGUGAUGAAGGCUCUUGGGUCGUAAAGCUCUGACAGAGGGAAAGAAGUGUAUGGUGGUUAAUACCCAUUGUACUUGACGGUACCCUCAAAGGAAGCACCGGCUAACUCCGUGCCAGCAGCCGCGGUAAAAC